rnacentral:rRNA from 1 species
GUGUCAGCAGCCGCGGUAAUACGGAGGGGGCUAGCGUUGUUCGGAAUUAUUGGGCGUAAAGAGCACGUAGGUGGGUUCGUAAGUCAGAUGUGAAAGCCUUCUGUUCAACGGAAGAAUUGCAUCUGAAACUGCGAGUCUUGAGUGUAGGAGGGGAGAAUGGAACUUCUGGUGGAGCGGUGAAAUGCGUAGAUAUCAGAAGGAACGCCGGCGGCGAAAGCGAUUCUCUGGCCUAUUACUGACACUCAGUGUGCGAAAGCUAGGGGAGCAAACGGGAUUAGAUACCCCGGUAGACCUAGCCGUAAACGAUGGGAACUAAGUAGAGGGAAUUACCGAUGUUCUCUCUGCCGAAGCUAACGCAUUAAGUGCCCCGCCUGGGGAGUACGGCCGCAAGGUUAAAACUCAAAUAAAUUGACGG